rnacentral:lncRNA from 1 species
GUUUUCAUGGGGAUACCUCUUGUGCAUUCUGUCAUCUCAUGUUGAAAGCAGCUUUUACAGAAAGAUGUCAGCAUCUGAAAAUAUGGGUGCAAGCUUGCAAUCCUGGAUGCAGUAAGAUCUGCAGUGUUCUGCACAAAGGAGAAAAGAACCUGACAUUCUACUUGGCAGCUAUAGUAAAUGGGGUUACCUUCCUUACAGUCUUCUCUGUACUCCCUUUCCUGGGACAACCAAGUAGCAGUGGUUGA